CCUACGGGUGGCUGCAGUGGGGAAUUUUGGACAAUGGGCGCAAGCCUGAUCCAGCCAUUCCGCGUGAGUGAAGAAGGCCUUCGGGUUGUAAAGCUCUUUCGCAAGGGAAGAAAACUUAUCCUCUAACAUAGGAUGAGGUUGACGGUACCUUGAUAAGAAGCACCGGCUAACUACGUGCCAGCAGCCGCGGUAAUACGUAGGGGACGAGCGUUAAUCGGAACGACUGCACGUAAUGCGGUAGCUCAGUGGUGAAAUCCCCGAGCUCAACUUGGGAACUGCGUUUGAAACUACAAGACUAGAAUAGGUCAGAGGGGGGUAGAAUUCCACGUGUAGCAGUGAAAUGCGUAGAGAUGUGGAGGAAUAUCAAUGGCGAAGGCAGCCCCCUGGGAUCAUAUUGACGCUCAUGCACGAAAGCGUGGGGAGCAAACAGGAUUAGAUACCCUGGUAGUC
rnacentral:rRNA from 1 species